GGCACGGUGGCUUAGUGGUUAGCACUGUUGCUUUGCACCUUCGGGGGUGGGAGUUCAAAUCCCACCUCUGCCC